GGCCCCUUGGUCAAGCGGUUAAGACACCGCCCUUUCACGGCGGUAACACGGGUUCGAAUGUUCGAAUCCCGUGUAGGGGUCACCA
rnacentral:tRNA from 1 species